rnacentral:rRNA from 1 species
AACGAACGCUGGCGGCAUGCCUAACACAUGCAAGUCGAACGAGACCUUCGGGUCUAGUGGCGCACGGGUGCGUAACGCGUGGGAACCUGCCCUUAGGUUCGGAAUAACUCCCCGAAAGGGGUGCUAAUACCGGAUAAUGUCUUCGGACCAAAGAUUUAUCGCCUUUGGAUGGGCCCGCGUUGGAUUAGCUAGUUGGUAGGGUAAAAGCCUACCAAGGCGACGAUCCAUAGCUGGUCUGAGAGGAUGAUCAGCCACACUGGGACUGAGACACGGCCCAGACUCCUCCGGGGGGCAGCAGUGGGGAAUUUGGGAAAAUGGGCGAAAGCCUGAUCCAGCAAUGCCGCGUGAGUGAUGAAGGCCUUAGGGUUGUAAAGCUCUUUUACCCGGGAUGAUAAUGACCGUACCGGGAGAAUAAGCCCCGGCUAACCCCGU